rnacentral:rRNA from 1 species
UACGGAGGGGGCGAGUGUUGUUCGGAAUUACUGGGCGUAAAGGGCGCGUAGGCGGCUUGGUCAGUCCCGUGUGAAAUCCCUCGGCUCAACUGAGGAACUGCACGGGAAACUGCCUGGCUUGAGUUCGGGAGAGGGAAGCGGAAUUCCGGGUGUAGCGGUGAAAUGCGUAGAUAUCCGGAGGAACACCGGUGGCGAAGGCGGCUUCCUGGACCGACACUGACGCUGAGGCGCGAAAGCUAGGGGAGCAAACGGG